UACGUAGGGUGCAAGCGUUGUCCGGAAUUAUUGGGCGUAAAGAGCUCGUAGGCGGUCUGUCGCGUCUGCUGUGAAAACUCAGGGCUUAACCCUGAGCUUGCAGUGGGUACGGGCAGACUAGAGUGCGGUAGGGGAGAAUGGAAUUCCUGGUGUAGCGGUGGAAUGCGCAGAUAUCAGGAGGAACACCGGUGGCGAAGGCGGUUCUCUGGGCAUGUCCUGACGCUGAGGAGCGAAAGUGUGGGGAGCGAACAGG
rnacentral:rRNA from 1 species